CUUCCUGCCAGGUGGAACUUGCUGCCUGUUAUUGGAGGAGAGAGGAGCUUGUUCAGCCUGUCUGGAGUGGCAUGCUCUUCUUGGUUCAGCCUGAAGAUUCAGGCCCAUUCAUCUCUGAAGACUGCUGAGCCAGGAGUCAUGAAGAUCUUAGUUAAAUUCCACUUCAGGACAUUGAUUAGCUGUAUGACCCUAGGUCAGCAUUUCAAUGCAUCGGAAUCAUGGACAACACUUUAGAGUUGAUCAUUCUUAACCUCAUCUUCCUCAACACCUCAUCAUUGGUCACUAUUGUGUAGAUGUGGCAGAAGUGAAUCCCUGCCAGUCUUCAUAUCCAUUCUCCAUUUAUGGUGCCAUCAUAUCAGAGUUGGUGGAAAAAGCAAACACAUUUCAACAACUUCCCCUAUCUCCAAUUCAUCUUUCUAUGUGUACUCUCUUUAAAUGGUAGCCAUUGCACAUUUUAUCCAAUUCAUAUUACUAGUCCUACUAGACACAUUCGUCUCUAUCUAGCACCUUAUUGUCUUGGAUUCAGCCAUGUAUUAAGCUGCUACCCUAAAGCUAGAAUCCUACAUCAUUUUCUAGGAUUAAUAAUAAUAAUAAUAUUAAAGUUUUGUAUAGCUCUUUAAAAUUUAAAAAAUAUUUUCUUCACAAAAGCCCUAUUGCAGCUACUAUAGCUUUUCUCUGCGCUAUCAGAUGGAAUCUGUCAACAAAAUAAAAUGUUUUCCUAAAUAUAUCACUCUCCACGGUGAUACUCAUCAGACAUUGAUUCUGCUCACACAUUUAGCCUCAAGAAAUUUUCGUGAAAUUUGUUUACUUAAUAUUUCAUUACCUAGAAAACUUAAAAGUGUCUUUUGCUAGGUGAAGAAUUCACUGUUUGAAAGGGAGAAAAAAGAAUUCAUUGUUU